rnacentral:rRNA from 1 species
UGUCAGCCGCCGCGGUAAUACGGAGGGUCCAAGCGUUAUCCGCUAUUAUUGGGUCUAAAGCGCACGUAGGCGGCUUGGCAAGUCGGAUGUGAAAGCCCGGGGCUCAACCUCGGAAGUGCAUCCGAAACUGCCUCGCUAGAGUCUUGGAGAGGGUGGUGGAAUUCCCAGUGUAGAGGUGAAAUUCGUAGAUAUUGGGAGGAACACCGGUGGCGAAGGCGACCACCUGGACAAUGACUGACGCUGAGGUGCGAAAGCGUGGGGUGCAAACAGGAUUAGAUA